CUACGGGGUGCUCCAGUGGGGAAUAUUGGACAAUGGGCGCAAGCCUGAUCCAGCAAUGCCGCGUGUGUGAAGAAGGCCUGCGGGUUGUAAAGCACUUUAAGCAGGAAAGAAGGUUUCAAGGCUAAUACCCUUGGAAAUUGACGUUACCUGCAGAAUAAGCACCGGCUAACUCCGUGCCAGCAGCCGCGGUAAUACGGAGGGUGCGAGCGUUAAUCGGAAUUACUGGGCGUAAAGCGCGCGUAGGCGGUCGGCUAAGUCUGCUGUGAAAGCCCUGGGCUUAACCUGGGAACUGCAGUGGAUACUGGUCGGCUAGAGUAUGGUAGAGGAGAGUGGAAUUUCCGGUGUAGCAGUGAAAUGCGUAGAGAUCGGAAGGAACACCAGUGGCGAAGGCGGCUCUCUGGACCAAUACUGACGCUGAGGUGCGAAAGCGUGGGGAGCAAACAGGAUUAGAUACCCUCGUAGUC
rnacentral:rRNA from 1 species